GCGAAUCGCCCUUGGGGUGCAGCAGGCGCGAAAACUUUGCAAUGCGGGAAACCGUGACAAGGGAACUCUGAGUGCCCGUUAAAUCGGGCUGUCCAUCGGUUUAAAUAACCGGUGAAGAAAGGGCCGGGCAAGACCGGUGCCAGCCGCCGCGGUAAUACCGGCGGCUCGAGUGGUGGCCACUAUUACUGGGCUUAAAGCGUUCGUAGCUGGUUUGUUAAGUCUCUGGGGAAAUCUUCCGGCUUAACCGGAAGGCGUCUCAGGGAUACUGGCAGACUAGGGACCGGGAGAGGUGAGAGGUACUCCAGGGGUAGGAGUGAAAUCCUGUAAUCCUUGGGGGACCACCUGUGGCGAAGGCGUCUCACCAGAACGGCUCCAACAGUGAGGGACGAAAGCUGGGGGAGCAAACCGGAUUAGAUACCCGGGUAGUCCCAGCUGUAAACGAUGCGCGUUAGGUGUAUCGGUGACCACGAGUCACCGAGGUGCCGAAGAGAAAUCGUGAAACGUGCCGCCUGGGAAGUACGGUCGCAAGGCUGAAACUUAAAGGAAUUGGCGGGGGAGCA
rnacentral:rRNA from 1 species